UACAGAGGGUGCAAGCGUUAAUCGGAGUGACUGGGCGUAAAGGGCGUGUAGGUGGAUAGAUAAGUUAUGUGUGAAAUAUCCGGGCUUAACCUGGAGAGGUCAUGUAAUACUGUCUGUCUAGAGUAGAGCAGAGGGAAGUAGAAUUUCCGGUGUAGCGGUGAAAUGCGUAGAGAUCGGAAGGAAUACCAGUGGCGAAGGCG
rnacentral:rRNA from 1 species